CCCUCGUUAGUCUAGCGGCAAAACGCCCAGUCUGGAAUGUCGAUGGGAGUCUGGGGUUCGAUUCCCCAACGAGGGU
rnacentral:tRNA from 1 species